rnacentral:rRNA from 1 species
UACGGAGGGAGCUAGCGUUGUUCGGAAUUACUGGGCGUAAAGCGCACGUAGGCGGCUUUGUAAGUUAGAGGUGAAAGCCUGGAGCUCAACUCCAGAAUUGCCUUUAAGACUGCAUCGCUUGAAUCCAGGAGAGGUGAGUGGAAUUCCGAGUGUAGAGGUGAAAUUCGUAGAUAUUCGGAAGAACACCAGUGGCGAAGGCGGCUCACUGGCUCGUAUCUGACGCUCAGGCGCGAUAGCGUGGGGAUCAAACAGG